rnacentral:rRNA from 1 species
AGUGGCGGACGGGUGAGUAACGCGUGGGUAACCUGCCUCAUACAGGGGGAUAACAGUUAGAAAUGACUGCUAAUACCGCAUAAGCGCACGGGACCGCAUGGUUUUGUGUGAAAAGCCGAGACGGUAUGAGAUGGACCCGCGUCUGAUUAGCUGGUUGGUGGGGUAACGGCCCACCAAGGCGACGAUCAGUAGCCGACCUGAGAGGGUGACCGGCCACAUUGGGACUGAGACACGGCCCAAACUCCUACGGGAGGCAGCAUG